UUGAGCCCCGAGGCGCCGGCGGCGGAGGGUUUUGGCCACUUUCCCGGGGCCCGGCGUGAGGAAGACGGCGGAGGAAGGCCCCGCGGCGGUCUGCGUGCGAGUCCGGCGCUCAGCAGCAGAGAAGAAGAACUUGGAGAAACUGCCCAAGCUUACUGGAAAAUUGACAAUAAUGCCAUUUAUCAAUUUGAUGGAAGUAAAUCCUUCAAUUUUGAUCGUGUCUUUCAUAGUAAUGAAACUACUAAAAAUGUGUUUGAAGAAAUAGCAGCACCAAUCAUGGAUUCUGCCAUACAAGGCUACAAUGUUUCCUGAUAGGGAAUUUCUCUUGCAUGUGUCUUACAUGGAGAUCAAUGAAACCUUUAAUAAUUCGAGAAGAUGUCAAUAGGAAUGUGUAUGUUGCUGAUCUCACAGAAGUGGUUUAUACAUCAGAAAUGGCUUUGAAAUGGAUCACAAAGGGAGAAAGGAACAGCCAUUAUGGAAAAACAAAAAUGAAUCAGAGAAGAAGUUGUUCUCAUACAAUUUUUAAGAUGAUUUUUGAAAGCAGAGAGAUGGAUGAGCCUUCUAAUUGUGAAGGGUCUGUGAAGGUAUCCCAUUUGGCAGUGAAAGAGCUGCUCAAACGGGAACUAAAGCCGAGGACUGGGCUCCGGGCUCUGGUAGGAAGCGAAGCGCUGGGAGCGGGGCCGCUUUGAAAACACUGAUCUGGGUGUUUUAAAACCUCCUUUGAGAAAGUGAUGGCCAACUCGACGGAAAAGGCGCCUCCGGACGAGCGGAGAAAGGGACUCGCUUUCCUGGGCGAGAGCGGCACCGGGGCGGCGGCGGACGAGCCGGGCGAACGGGGCUCUCCCGUUCUCCCUCCCGCAGGUCGCCUUUUAAAAAAAUCCCUGCGGUGGCUGGGAAGGAGCCGGGUCUUCACGGUCUCUGCAACAGAGUCACUACUUUCGGCGGAUUCGCGAAGCGGCUUCAUAAGUUAUCGAGAUAGCAAAUUAACAUGAAUUCUCCAGAAUUCCUUCGGAGGAAACGCAAAAACACAUAUUAUCUGCACAAUUACUCCGGUGUCUUUUGAUGAAACCCUUAGGACUCUCCAGGAGCUCCUGAAGAGAUACUCAGAGAUCAAUAAUCACUAUGAGUGCUUAAAUGGAUUGUCUCUUGACUUGGAGACAGCAAUUGAAACCUAAAAAGAGCUUUCAAUUAGAGUAAAAGCAAACCUGUCACUUCUAGAUUUGCAAACCAAACAGAUUCAAAAACUUCUUACCGCAAACCAGAGGUGUUCCAUGGAAUUUCAUAGAAUCAUAAAGAAAUUUAAGUGUGUAUUAAGCUAUAUUACAAAGAUGAAAGAAGAACAACAUGAAUCCAUCAAUAAAUUUGAAAUGGAUUUUAUUGGUGAAGUGGAAAAGCAAAACAAAUUGCUAAUUAAAAUACAGCAUGGACAAGAUUGUGAUGUACCAUCCAAGGAAUUCAGGGACCUCAAGUUGAACCAGAAUAUGGAUCUACAUAUUGAGGAAAUUCUUAAAGAUUUCUCAGAAAGUGACUUCCCCAGCAUAAAGACUGAAUUUCAACAAGUUUUAAGUAAUAGGAAAGAAAUGACGCGGUUUUUGGAAGAGUGAUUGAAUACUCAUUGUGAUAUAGAAAAGCUUUAAAAUGGCAUCCAGAAAGAAAACGAUAGAAUUUGUCAAGUGAAUUACUUCUUUAACAACAAAAUAAUUCUUUUGUAAGAAUUGAGCCUUUUCCCCGAGUAGCCUUAGAGAUGGUGAGACGUGAGUCCACUUCAGGGCUUUGGGCAGCAGCUGCGGUAAAGCCAUAGCCAAGCCUGGCCAGCUACGUUAGUAGGGCCCCAUGUGCUAAUCCUUGAACUUUGAGGUUCAAAAGUGUAGUUUGUUUUUUAUUAAUAAACUUUAUUUUUCAAGAGCAGUUUUCAGUUCACAGCAAAAUUGAGCAGAAAGUACGGAGAAUUCUCAGUUACCUCAUCUCCACAAGCACACAUUCUCUCCGGCUGUCGUCAUCCCAUCCCAGAGUGGAAUAUUUGGCACAAUUGAUGAACCAAUUGAUGAAUUGAUAUUUCGUUAUCACCCAAAGUCCAUAGUUUACAUUAGAGUUCAC